CCGGGGAUUCCGUACCGCCCUUUUACUGUUUGACUCUCGUGCAGGAGUGCAGGAGUUCUUACAGAAACACCGAUACUUGCGUCUUAUCUGCAUCUUUAUUCAUCAUUAAACAUAAGAUGAGCUCUUGUGAGUCCAGCAGCAUCACUGUGAUCGGCAGUGGGCUGAUCGGCCGCUCCUGGGCUAUGGUGUUUAUUAGUGGAGGCUACAGAGUAAAGCUCUAUGAUAACCAGCCAGGACAGGCUGCUGUUGCCCUCAUUGAGAUCAGAUGGAGGAGCUUGAGAAGUGUAAGAUGCUGAGAGGAGAGCUGACCUCCAGACAGCAGCUGGAUCUGCUCAGCAGCCAUGACGACCUGUCCCAGGCCCUGGAGGGAUCCUUCUUUGUCCAGACACAAUUAUGGAAAGACAUAUAACAUCGUCCUGGGAGCCAACCAGGUCGUCCCGGGGAUGAAGGACGGGCUGAUGGACAUGUGUGUAGGAGAAAAACGACACCUGGUUAUUCCCCCUCACCUGGCCUACGGGGAGAGGGGAGUCCUCGAUGAAGUUCCAGGAAGUGCUGAGAUGGUGUUUGACAUUGAUUUGGUUGAUAUGGAAGAAGGACUUCCUGAGGGAUACAUGUUCAUCUGGAAGGAUGAGGGAGCGCCAUAUCUCUUCUCAGAGAUGGAUGAAGAUAAAAACGAGCAGGUGGAGCCUUCUGAGUUUACCGACUACAUCAUGCAGCAGGUGAACAACGGGAAGGGCCGCCUGGCUCCCGGCUUCGAUCCUUACCGCAUCAUCGACAACAUGUUCUCCAACCAGGACCGCAAUGGAGACGGAAAGAUCACAGAGGCGGAGUUCAAGCUCAAAGCAGACGGGUCUGUGUCCCACGACGAGCUAUGACGAGACUGAGCGGAGAAAAGAUUAUGGUGAAGAGUGAAGGGUCUGAUGGUGGAGAACAUAAAUAUGUGGGUGGUAGAGUAGCAGGUGGGACGAUGUGUGUGGGAUAAAGAUUUAGUUUUUUUCAUUUUGAGGACUGAUGUGAUAAGCAUGUCCAAACAAACAAAAGAGCAGGAUUUUGGAGAGAAUAGAAGCUUAUAUUAAAAACAAACUUCUAAUUUGAGACUCUAAUGACAGCGAAUGAUGCUUUUUUACCUCCUUGUCAUCAGGUUCUUGUUUUAUGUGACGUUUAUUUUAUUUUGAAGGGUAUUAAAAGCACUCCUGUGUGAGAGAACAAGCAAACACCUGUAUCCUCUCACACAUUUGACUUUGUACACGUUAAAUGUGGUCAUCUUGAGUUAAAUGUUAUAUUUGCUGAUGAUUUCAAGGAUUAACGAGUUGACUCGCUCCUGAUAUGCUGUUUUAGGUUGUUUACAAAACAAAACAAGUUGUUUGCCUCGGCUCACGGUACAAAAUGGCGGGCUUGACCCCUGGCCCCUCCUGACGGACACCCUUACUCUGUGGGGAGACAACCUGUCGACCUAGGUCCCCAUCACUGGUUAAACUCUUAUUGCUGUAGGAAGACUCGUGCUGCAAACCAUACGGACUCGUCAGUUAUACCAUUCGCCUCACGGCGGAGGUGAAUCGGCAAGCGCCGUCAGAAAUCAGUCCUCGGCCACCGGCUCUCCCGGGACUCACUCGUCAGGUUUCUUUAGUACAAGCGAUGUGCUCUGAAGGAGAUCUCUCCAGGAUCUCCCUUCUCUAACAAUUCAUUUUCUAUUUAUAGUUAGCUUCUCCCCAGGGGGAGUUUUUCAGAGUCAGUUUUGGGCCUCAUGUCAUGAGUUAGGCAGCUUCUUGAUCAGUUUCCUGUGUCGGCAGCGCUCCUCGCCUCUGCGAGCUGACUGCUCAGAAUAUCAUCUUAUUUUUCGUUUAAACAUGAGGGCGGUUCAACCGCUGAGCUUGUGGCUGGAACUUUGACACCUUGGUGCUGGUUCGGUGGUUUGUCCAUUAACCAUUGAUCCAUUAAUCGUAAUCUCAACACACAGGACACUGGAUGGUCUGAUGUCCUUUAAAAUCCUUCCGUUGCUCGUUUUUGUCACCAAAUCUCAGACAGAGGGCCACAUUUUGUAUAUGUUUGUGUAUUCUGAUGUGUGUGUUUUUGUAAAUGAGACAUGUAUGUAUGUGGAUGUUUUGUUAAUGCAAAAAAGGCCGAUUCUUGUUGGUGACUACGUCAGUUCACAAAGUCUCCAAUUAAAUGACCUGACCAAAACAGCUCCAACCUCUGAUUGUGUCUCAUUUUAUCCUGAAUAUAAGGACCUGUCUCUGCUUAGGAUGUGUUGACCGGUUCUGGGGUCAUCAAAAUGAAACACAAGACCACAAACUUUCUAUAAAUGUUGUAUUGUUUUUAUUGAUUUUUUGUGUUACCAACACACGUAGCCUUAUCUGCCAAACUUAUAAAUAUUAAUGGAUGUUUUUACAUCAUAUUUAUACAAGUAUUAAUAUUUUGGUUAGGUUUAGUUUCAGUUGAUCUGUGACAUCAUCUUUAAAUUUUUAAAAAUUAACUCUCCUGUUGUCAGGAAUAUUAUACUUUUUUUAUUUUACUAUUAUUAUUGGCCACCUGGUAUUUUUUGUCAGUUUAUGGUUGUAAAAUUGCCCCAAAAUUGCAAAGUGUGUGUCUGUUUCUGCUCCUUUUUUCUAGAACAACUUCAGCUUCUAGUAUGUAGCUGGUAUUUAACAUUCAUGCAUAUGAAAAACUAAAAUAACAGUUUAAAAGUUUGAGUUCAGGAGAAAAAUAAAUCCCUUCGCUCACAACAUUCUGCGCAUGCGCACAUUGUAGCCUUUCGGUGCCAUAGCAACCAGUGCAACCGACCUCUCGUCAACAUAAUCCGAGCAAUGGCUUUGAAAGAAGCGUUGAGCAGAUGGG